AUGAAGCCUGAGGUUGCUGGUCUGGCAGGGCUGGCAGCACUGCUGCUGGCAUCUGCAGGAGGAGCCCAGGUACAGCAGCAGCAGAUGGCAGAGACCACCGAGGGCAUCGGCAUCAACAUCACUUGCUCGCACCCCAAUAUAAAUUCUUACGACUCCAUCCACUGGUACCGUCAGCUCCCGGGACGAGGCCCCGCACUGCUCCUGAGCACUCUCAAAGACUCCAAAGAGCUGCGGGACCCGCCGGGGCGGCUGUGGGUGUCGGCAGACCGCCGCUCCAGCGCCCUGUGGCUCGCCCGGCCCCGGCGCGGGGACGCGGCGGUGUAUUACUGCGAACUCACACACAUGAGCAAGGUCAGCAGAUGCCACUGCAAAGGCGUGUGGAAGGCGCUGGAGGGACUGGGGUGUAAGCAAGGCCUGGGUGCCAGCAACUGCAGAAGGAAGAACGUGUCCCAGGGCUCAUACAUCUUGCUGUGA